GCUGGGCAUGGUGGUGCAUGCCUGUAAUCCCAGUUACUUGGGAAGCUGAGGCAGGAGAAUCACUUGAACCCGGGAGGCAGAGGUUACAGUGAGCCAAGAUGGCAUCACUGUACUCCAGCCUGGGUGACAGAGCGAGACUCCGUCUCAA
ensembl:misc_RNA Metazoa_SRP Metazoan signal recognition particle RNA